rnacentral:tRNA from 1 species
GCUGAUGUAGCUCAGUCGGUAGAGCACUUCCUUGGUAAGGAAGAGGUCAUCGGUUCAAAUCCGAUCAUCAGCU